GCUCUGUUCCUUUAAUCUUGAAGUUGCCGCCAUAACUCUACAUAGACAAGUAUGCCUUCAUCUCGGGACUCGGUAUUAUUUACACGUUUCUUGUUUUUUUUCAAGAAUCUGGACAUAAAUGCAGCCAAACCCCUUUUAUGCCUUUUAAUCUUUACCAUAAACCUCCUGUGAAAACUUGAAAGAUUUCCACAUAAUAAUCUCAAGGGUUUUAUAACAAUAUAUACAUGUGUCUUGACAAACAUAAACGUACACACCCUUCUGUUCCUACACGACACCCUCACAUUUGACACCCACACAAACCCAAAACAUCUCGACAUCCUCACAAUACUCUUUCGCCAACCUGGCCGGAGAAAUCCCGAAGUCCACCGGAGGGAACCUGCAAUCGCCGGAGUUCGGAGACGUCACUGGAACUCGAAGACAACGUCGGAAAGACUCAAAGCCGUCGAGGCCCUACCGACGUCGCGACGGGGAUUGGUUUCAUUUCGGUAUACGUUUUUCCUUUCAUUCAGAUUUUGGGUUGUCUCAUGUUCGGAUAUGCUUGUGCUUGUCCGGUUGUUUAAUAAAGAAGAUGACGCGAACCGAGCUUGCCCGAGAUCGAGGUACGCCGGAGCGGACAACGGAAUUCAUCGACGAUAUCGUUUCAUCUUGUUUCGGUUAAUCGCCCUCGUUCGUCCUCUUGAUUUCUUUACUCGUGCGUUAUUUUACAAGAAAUCGCAACGCAAUCACAGUUGAUGAUGAUGAAAUGAAAACGGAUAGCAAAGAUGCCUAGAUACUCAC